rnacentral:lncRNA from 1 species
GGGGGAAUGCUAAUGUGAGAAGAUCUUAAAGAUGGUGACUUUUUCCAGGCCCUUCAAGUUGUUUGCUGUGGUUGGGACAUAGGGAGUUCAUGAAAGACAGAGGUACUUGGAGCAAUACCCAGGGACAGGAACACAAGGGGUUUUUAAAUGCCCUCCUAAGGAAUGUUGACUUUAUUCUGCAGAUGAUGGGAGCCAUGAAAGGAUUGUGAGAAGGAAAAUGACAUAAUAAGCUUUCUAUUUUUAAAACGUCAGUGCCAUGUGGAAGGAACAAAGGAAGGAGUGAAGGCUGGAGAGGAAGGAGGCCAGGUAGCAAGAAGGUCAUUGCAAAAGUCUAGGUAAAAGACAUAAGGCAGCUUUGGUGGAAAUGAAGAGGAAACCCACUCUCAGGCAAGGGACUGAAACUCGCCAGAUUGCUACUCCCAGACAACGAGAAGACAGACCCCUCAUUUGUCGUGAUUACUUCCUUAUCUCUCCUUCAAUCCUUCCUGCAUGUAGCUACCUUCCUUCCCCCACCGUACAAACCCCCCAAGUCAGGGGGAUGAAUUUGAGACUCAUCUCCCAUUCUCCUUGUUGACAUCACCUGAACAAAACCUUUCUUUCCUGGCGAUACUCAUUGUCUCAGCGAUUGGCUUUCUGUGCAGUGAGCAAUGGGACCUAGACUGAAUGCCUGGUGCUCUG